GGUGGCAUAUGCCUGUAGCCCCAGCUACUCGGGAGGCUGAGGUGGGAGGAUGGCUUGAGUCCAGGAGUUCUGGGCUGUAGUGCGCUAUGCCGAUCAGGUGUCUGCACUAAGUUCGGCAUCAAUAUGGUGAACUCUCAAGAGCAGGGGAACCACCAGGUUGCCUAAGGAGGGGUGAACUGGCCCAGGUUGGAAACAGAGUAGGCCAAAACUCCCAUGCUGAUCAGUAGUGGGAUUGUGCCUGUGAAUAGCCACUGCACUCUAGGCAACACAGUGAGACCCUGUCUCAA
ensembl:misc_RNA Metazoa_SRP Metazoan signal recognition particle RNA